ACCCGCACAAGCAGCGGAGCGUGUGGUUAAUUCGAGGCUACACGAGAACCUUACAGGGUUUGACAUGCAAGUGGUAGGAAUCCGAAAGGUGACCGACCCUUCGGGGGCUUGCACAGGUGCUGCAUGGCUGUCGUCAGCUCGUGUCGUGAGAUGUUCGGUUAAGUCCGCUAACGAGCGCAACCCUCGUCGUGUGUUAUACGUGUCACACGAUACUGCCGGUAUCAAGCCGGAGGAAGGUGGGGAUGAUGUCAAGUCAGCAUGGCCUUUAUAUCCUGGGCUACACACACGCUACAAUGGCAGAUACAAUAGGUUGCGAAACCGCGAGGUGGAGCCAAUCCUCAAAGUCUGUCUCAGUUCAGAUUGUAGGCUGCAACUCGCCUGCAUGAAGUUGGAGUUGCUAGUAAACGCAGGUCAGCUAUACUGCGUUGAAUACGUUCCCGGGGUUU
rnacentral:rRNA from 1 species